GCCUGUAAUGAUUCUAUAUCUAACAUACGAUUCCUGUCAUUGUAGCCUGUGCAAAAGGACAUUACGGUCCUAACUGUAGUCGUGUUUGUGGACAUUGUAAAGGAGCGGAUGCAUGUGAUCACGUGAAUGGUUCUUGUCCUUCACGAGAAUGUAAACCAGGAUGGAAGCAAACAUCUGAUCGAAAAUGUAACACAGCCUGCGAGAAAGGAUUGUACGGCACCAACUGUCGUUAUGCCUGUGGGCAUUGUGCGGGGAACGUAACAUGUGAUCACGUGGAUGGUUCUUGUCCUUCUGGGUAUUGUGAACCAGGAUGGAAUCACACAUCGGAUCGGAAAUGCGACCAAGAUUCGCAAUCCUGUACCACUGCGGGUGACAACACUAUAACCAUCGUCAUCCUGAUAGUUUCUGUUAUCAUUGUUCUUACCGGAAGCAUCAUAAACUUCCUGUUGUGGAAAAGAAACCAGUCCCAGAACACAAAACGGGGAGUAAAAGAAAAUUCUAGUAGCCAAACGACGGCGCAUGAACUUCCAGACACAACAAACAGCGAAUAUCAGGUUAGAUCUCCAUAUGCAGAACUCGGAGACCUCGACAAACCAAACACAUACGAAGAACUUAACCAGCACGUGUAUACCGAAGCUGUUUAGAAGAAUUGGAUCUGAAUUUCUAUAUUGAUAGAUCAAAAGACACAAAAAGUAUACUAGUAUCUGAGCAGUCUCCUCGAAUUCUAUAGAGUGUGCUGUUGUCUCGCACGUAAAGCUCAUAAUUCAAUGAUGUAUAAUUGAAAGUGGUAUGCAUGCAAGGUAUUUUUGGCAACAUACUUAUUUUGUGUUGCUUUUGUAAUAUUUUGCAUUGGAAUGUAAAUAUUGGUUUUAAUUUUCAUGAUGUUUCUUGUUUUACAUUUUCAAAUACUCCCCAGUAUACCGAACUAGUUUAGGAAAUGUAGGCCUGGAUUUCUUUGUUCAUAUAUCAAAAUAACACUGAAUGUAUAUUAGCAUCUAGGCAGUCUAAUCGACGACGAUGGCACGUGCAAUUGUAUCAUAUGUGAAGAUUAUGAUAAAGCGAUGUUUUUUUUGAAAAGUGAUACUCAUGUAACGUAUUUUUGAUUUGUUCCUAUAACAAGUUACUUGAGAAUGUCAAGUAUUGGCUUUCAUUUUCAUGAUGUUUCAACUUGUUUUACACGUUAACGGGAUCUUUGAUAAUGGUUUUUGCUUUUAUUCAAUAUUAGCGAUACCAAAUAGUAACUGUAGCGUGUUGAGAACAUAUACCAUGAUGUUAUAUGUGACUGACUACGUCAACCCAUUGCAAACUAUAUAUUUUUGAAGCGUUCGGAGAAGAUUAAGUAACGAAAUUUUUUUACAGAAUUUCAUGGCUGAAAUCAGAAAGUUAUGUAAUGUCAAACAUAAUCUGAAUGAAUCAACACGGAAUCGGUACUCUGAGACAGUAUACAGAUGUUAGGAAGGGAAAAUUUGACUUUCCAGAACUACAUUAACAUCAACAAAGUUAUGAAAAAAUCACAUUUAGAGAUCCGAGGAAAUAUGCUAUUUCCAAGAUAUGGGCUCUUUUUUAUGGAAGUAUAUUCAGUAUUUUGUUGAAUGCUUCGAUGGACACAGGGCGCAUGCAUACAUAUAUUUCAAACUAAUGAUAAUAAAUAAUUUACCUUCUCAACACCAUUGAUAGUUAAUGAAUCUCGAUUUUUCUUCCAGUUACUUUUUAUUUCAAAUACCCACAAGCAUACUGAAUUUGUGUUUCCCUGCAGUUCGGGUGCUUGCAUAGGAUUUAUUAAUCCCUCUUUAGUCGAUAAUCACUUACGAGCGCCACGAUCGACCAUUUGUAGAUAAUUGCAGAACUUGUCUGGAAUCGCAGGUUUUCAUUCGAGAUGAUGCGAGUUAAUCCAUUCUGAUUCCGUCGGAUCACUAGAUACAUUUCUGUUGUCACGAUGUGUCAUGAUCUGAACACCCGUUGACAUACGAUACGAUCACAUACGUUCUGAUAAGAUUGUCUCGAUUGUCCAGAUCAAGUUCACGAUUGGACCUCGACCUUAUUCAAUAAUCAAGAUCUGAAUUUCCGAUUUGGGAAGAUCAUGUACGUGCAAAUACGUUCGUACACGGCACGUUACAUUAAACACGAACCGAUGCACUAUGUUGCAAUAGGAUGCGAUUGUGAUCGCGUGUGAUAUUUUUUUAUGUAGAUAUUAACAGCAAACUAACAAGUCGACAUUUUGACAAACUUGAUGAUUUUACAUGUAGCUUCUUCAUCGUCAAUUUCCCAUACAUAUGUAACAAUAUUCCAUUAUCACCUGCAAGUGGUAUUUAGAUUUAUCAGCAAUGGUUAGAUACGCAAGGGCUUGUUCUGUUUAUGAUCGGGUUUUAAAUCGAGACAAACAAGUUAAUGUUACAGGGUUUUCAACAGUCUCGUUUAAAGUCACCAUUUCGCAAAUUCUAUGGUGGUUAUAACGAUCAUGUUUGACAAUACAACCUGCCAUUCGUUUAAUUGUUGUCUGACGUAUUCUUUACCGAUUUUAGACCGUUCUUUACGCACUUGUUUUUAUACGGAUCACUCCGUUUACCUAAUCAAGCUAUGGGGUAAUGGCAAAUGUGAAUGACCAGCAGGGAAUGUUACUCCUCCUAGACACCUUGUUCCAACUCUGGUAUACCCAGGGUCCGUGCUUGCCCAACUCUCUAUUUUGUAUACCUUAUAGAGAGAGUGAGGCUGAUCACUGUGUGUCACUAUUGUUUACAAUAACUUAUAAUGUGGUAAUAAGUUCAUACAUCAUUUGUGUUGAUAAACGAGGAAGCAUAUCUGGGGAGGGAGGUGCUCCAUACUAUGAAUUCCUUUCUGUGGUAUCCUUUAGUACACUCAUUGAAAUCAUGUGUUUUUGGUAAUGUAAUUGAAAAACAUGAGCUCUUCUGAAGAAUCCCAGCUUUGGUGAAAAAAUCCACCAGGAGUCGAAAUAUAUAAGUUUUUCUUUUCUUUUUUAGACUUUUAGAUUACAAUUUAUUAAGACCAUGACUCAGAAAGAUAAGGGGGGGGGGCUGUAGUUUUUACAUUGCAAUGAAUGAGGACUCUUUUUUAAUAAACCUUUCUUAUCAAGAUCAGCCGAACCAUGCUUAGUUAUAUUUUUAGGCAAGCAUCCAUCGUGCACAUUUAUAUUUGAAUUGAUAGAGAAAUAGGUUUAGGAUAUUUUUUGGAAGAGAAGCAGGACCUCUUUAAAUCAUAUGAAUAUGUGAAUGUUUGCAAGUUGUUUGAAUUCAACUUUUUUCUUGGAAAUUUUCAUUAGAGUGGAUCGAAUUUCAUUUGAUGAAUAUAGAGGAAAAUGUUUAACUUUUUUCUCUUCAGAUCAACAGGGCCAUGGUAGUCAAAUUUACAUUGACAAAUUGCCCUAGUAUGUGGAUAUAUGCACUGUGUCCCUAUGGGGUUGGGUUGGUGACAUUAUAUAGGGUUUUAAAUUUGUCAAGAGAUGAAAAAGGGUAGCAUAUUUCUGAAGUACAGCAUAGGCAACGUGACUCUGACGAGCGUUGUACAUGUAGCACAUGGACAUAUUUCAAUUGUAUACUGGAUGAUUUCACAUUUGUCUGUAUUUUUUCAUUCAUUUGUUUCUGUAUAGAAUGCGAGUAUACAUAAUAUGUUACCUUGGUAUUGUGAACACAUUUAAUUAUUUUAUUAUUUUUAUUUAAUGUGUAAAUUCACCAUUAUUGUAUAAACAUUCUUAUCUUAAAUGUGUAUGAAGAUUCAUUUUCAAAGUUUAUGUCCAGAGAUUGAAAUUGUUUUGUUCAUAUGUGUGUUUGUUUACCAGAUGGGUAAUCUUUUUCUACCACUUGACACUGCACAAGAGGUUUAGUUGUCAACGUAGACAGGUCUAGAUCUGCGGUAACUACCAAAUUAUGGUCAAUGUAAUUGUAACCGAGCUGCAAGGAAAAGGUCUUGAUUCGGCUUUAUGUUGAUUUAUUUUUGUAGAAAUGUGUAAGGUAUUGACCUAUACUCAAAACAAAUAACAAUUGUAUUACACAAAAAGUACAAGUUCAUAAUUUAGAUAAACUGUUGACAAUAAGUUACCAAUAAUACGGCAUACAUUGAUGAUAGAAAAAUAAGACCUAAGUAAAUAUGAUUCUUAGGUACCCCAAAAUGCACCUGUAGAAGCUGGACAGCUAGAUGUUCGAAGUAUAGAUGCACAGUUCUUUCAUUUACUCCAUUUGAACGGUAACUUAUAGUUAAAGGUGACUCGUGACUAUUGGGUAAUACUUAAUGACAAAUGAAAUUUAAUGCUACAAAAAUAUCAACUCAAUUCAAUGCACAUAAGAAAACCAAUUCAAUCCGAUGCGCAGUAGAAGUCCUAUUCAAUCCAAAAUGUAUUAAACUUUUCAAAAAUAUAAUCAAACGAAAAAUGAAUAAAUACAUAAGAAAUGAAUAAGAAUAGAUUUGUACUACCACAUAAUUAAAAUGGUCAAAGAGCAAAUUUGCUCUAAUAGAACAUGUUAUCCCUCCAGAAAGUCCACUUGCUUCCUGGGGAUUCUACUUUGUAAUCCCAAGUGACUGGUUUUGGUUUUGAUUCGGAUAAGAUAUCAUCAUAUUGCAGUGUAGAAAUGAUAUCAAUUAUAGGUAGGAUUACAAGAUGUGAAGACAAUUACAAAAUAUUAAUAGUGUGUUAAGUAUCCUUUUUGAAAAGUAACUGCUAAAAGUUGAUAAUUAAUCAUUGGAUUUUGAAGCUAAUGCAUUGUUAUGGCAAAACGUAUGCUAAAUGCACUUGAAAAUGUCAUUUAUGUAUAAUUUUGAUGUGAUUAAUACAGUUUCACAUGUUGGUGUUAAAAAUUUGAUGAUGGUAUCUAAUACCAGUUUAUGAAAUGAAUUUUGAUAAUACUUGUAGCAUUUAUAUAUACUUAAUUCUUGUCGU